rnacentral:rRNA from 1 species
UACAGAGGUCUCAAGCGUUGUUCGGAUUCAUUGGGCGUAAAAGGGUGUGUAGGUGGCGCGCUAAGUCGGGGUGUGAAAUUUCGGAGCUUAACUCCGAAACUGCAUUCGAUACUGGCGUGCUUGAGGACUGGAGAGGAGACGUGGAAUUUACGGUGUAGCGGUGAAAUGCGUAGAUAUCGUAAGGAAGACCAGUGGCGAAGGCGGGUCUCUGGA